CAACUUUCAACAACGGAUCUCUUGGCUCUCGCAUCGAUGAAGAACGCAGCGAAAUGCGAUACGUAAUGUGAAUUGCAGAAUUCAGUGAAUCAUCGAAUCUUUGAACGCACCUUGCCCCCCUUGGCAUUCCGAGGGGCACACCCGUUUGAGUGUCGUGA
rnacentral:rRNA from 1 species